AGAACGAACGCUGGCGGCAGGCUUAACACAUGCAAGUCGAACGGGUGCGAGCAAUCGCACCAGUGGCAGACGGGUGAGUAACACGUGGGAACCUUCCUAGAGGUACGGAACAACUCAGGGAAACUUGAGCUAAUACCGUAUACGCUCUUGCGAGGAAAGAUUUAUCGCCUUUAGACGGGCCCGCGUCGGAUUAGCUAGUUGGUGGGGUAACGGCUCACCAAGGCGACGAUCCGUAGCUGAUCUGAGAGGAUGAUCAGCCACACUGGGACUGAGACACGGCCCAGACUCCGUACGGGAGCAGCAGUGGGAAUCGUGGACAAGUGGGCGCAAGCUGAUCCAGCCAUGCCGCGUGAGUGAAGAACGGCCGUUGGGUAGUAAGUCUUCGUUUGUCGAAGGGACGAUAAGUGAACGGUACCUAGAAGAAUAACGGCCCGACUAAACUUCGGU
rnacentral:rRNA from 1 species